rnacentral:rRNA from 1 species
UACGGGAGGGUGCAAUGCGUUGCUCGGAAUUAUUGGGCGUAAAGGGUAGGUAGGUGGUCUUCAGUUUGUACGGGGGGUGGAAAGCCUUGGGCUUAACUCAAGCAAGUGCCCCCGAAACGGUGAGACUCGGAGCCUGGAGAGGCGAGUGGAAUUCCCGGUGUAGCGGUGAAAUGCGUAGAGAUCGGGAGGAACAUCAGAGGCGAAGGCGGCUCGCUGGACAGGCACUGAACACUCGAACUACGAAAGGCGUGGGGAGCAAACAGGAUU